UACGAAGGGGGCUAGCGUUGCUCGGAAUUACUGGGCGUAAAGGGCGCGUAGGCGGACAGUUUAGUCAGAGGUGAAAGCCCAGGGCUCAACCUUGGAAUUGCCUUUGAUACUGGCUGUCUUGAGUACGGGAGAGGUGAGUGGAACUCCGAGUGUAGAGGUGAAAUUCGUAGAUAUUCGGAAGAACACCAGUGGCGAAGGCGACUCACUGGCCC
rnacentral:rRNA from 1 species